CCUACGGGUGGCAGCAGUGGGGGAUAUUGCACAAUGGAGGAAACUCUGAUGCAGCGACGCCGCGUGAGGGAAGACGGUCUUCGGAUUGUAAACCUCUGUCUUUGGGGAAGAAAAUGACGGUACCCAAAGAGGAAGCUCCGGCUAACUACGUGCAGCAGCCGCGGUAAUACGUAGGGAGCGAGCGUUGUCCGGAAUUACUGGGUGUAAAGGGAGCGUAGGCGGGCGAGAAAGUUGAAUGUUAAAUCUACCGGCUUAACUGGUAGCUGCGUUCAAAACUUCUUGUCUUGAGUGAAGUAGAGGCAGGCGGAAUUCCUAGUGUAGCGGUGAAAUGCGUAGAUAUUAGGAGGAACACCAGUGGCGAAGGCAGCUUACUAAACUGCCACUGACAUUGAUGCUCGAAAGUGUGGGUAUCAAACAGGAUUAGAUACCCUGGUAGUC
rnacentral:rRNA from 1 species